UACGAAGGGGGCUAGCGUUGUUCGGAAUUACUGGGCGUAAAGGGCGUGUAGGCGGCCAACUAAGUCCGACGUGAAAUCCCCAGGCUUAACCUGGGAACUGCGUCGGAUACUGGAUGGCUUGAAUCCGGGAGAGGGAUGCAGAAUUCCAGGUGUAGCGGUGAAAUGCGUAGAUAUCUGGAGGAAUACCGGUGGCGAAGGCGGCAUCCUGGACCGGCAUUGACGCUGAAGCGCGAAAGCUAGGGGAGCAAACGGG
rnacentral:rRNA from 1 species